GACGAACGCUGGCGGCGUGCUUAACACAUGCAAGUCGAACGGAAAGGCCCUGCUUUUGUGGGGUGCUCGAGUGGCGAACGGGUGAGUAACACGUGAGUAACCUGCCCUUGACUUUGGGAUAACUUCAGGAAACUGGGGCUAAUACCGGAUAGGAGCUCCUGCUGCAUGGUGGGGGUUGGAAAGUUUCGGUGGUUGGGGAUGGACUCGCGGCUUAUCAGCUUGUUGGUGGGGUAGUGUCUUACCAAGGCUUUGACGGGUAGCCGGCAUGAGAGGGUGACCGGCCACAUUGGGACUGAGAUGCUGCCGAAGCGCCUACGGGAGGCAGCAGUGAGGGAUAUUGCACAAUGGGCGGAGGCCUGAUGCAGCAACGCAGCGUGCGCGAUGACGGACUUCAGGUUGUAAACCGCUUUCGCCUGUGACGGAGAGUGAGUGACGGUAAUGGGUAAGGAAGCACCAGCUAACUACGUG
rnacentral:rRNA from 1 species